rnacentral:rRNA from 1 species
UGCAGCCCAAAGAGGGUGGUAAACUCCAUCCAAGGCUAAAUACAAGCACGAGUCCGAUAGCGAACAAGUACCGUGAGGGAAAGUUGAAAAGUACUUUGAAGAGAGAGUAAACAGUACGUGAAACCGCAUGCAGGUAAACGGGUGGCGUCAAGCUGCAAGCCCAGAGGAUUCAGCUGGCUAGGUUGUUGAGUAUGCGCCUGCGCAUCUAUCAGUCAGAGUAGGAUGUGAUAGUCCACUGGUAAACGGUGGCCCUGGCCGCAAGGUUGGGUGAUGUGUACCGGGUGGAAGCCGGAGCAUGCUAUCCGUCUAGGGACUGUCUAGCCAGUGCACUUUCUCUGUGGUGAACACCACGACCGGUGGAAUUGCCAGUCUGCUGUAGUCAAGUCGUGUUCGGUAGGUCCUUGUGGCCAACUGGGCGCGAUCACAGGCAAUGUCAGUGAACGGCGUAGAGGUGUUUCGGCACUUUUGCGUGUUAUCGGCUACUGCUUGUCAACGGGCCUGCCUAGUGAUUGUUGUAACCGUCACAUGGGUGGUCCGGUGGACUAUGGUGGUAAGAAUAACUGUGCAAGGCACCGGAGUUAUCGGCCUCAAAUGCAUCACACCAACACGUUACAAGUGGUGUGGGGUACUGUUGCUGCCUGCCUGUUGUUGAGUCUGAUUGUCGUGUCGCCUGCGCAAAGUGGGCCCGGCAGUGGCUUGAUGCAGGAUGGGUAGUGGAUGGUGCUUCCUGUGUGAGAUGUAGUGGGCCCAAUAGUCAGUGGUGUAGUGGUAGACGAGCUACCCGACCCGUCUUGAAACACGGACCAAGGAGUUUAACAUGUGUGCGAGUCAAUGGGUCCUACGAAACCCAAAGGCGCAGUGAAAGUAAAGCUUCGACUUGUUCUCGAAGUGAGGUGAGAUCCUGCUGUUACUCGCAUCAGCCUUAUGUCAGCAUCAGGCUAAGAGCAGUGGGCGCAUCACCGGCCCGUCCCAUGAUGUGGUCAUUGGAUUGUC